AGAGGGAGUCUUCGGCAAAUAUAAAAAAAUAAAUAAAAAAUAUAAACAAUAAUAGGCUCUCGAUAUCUUAUGUAGCUAGGAUGCUCAAGGUGUAUCUCCGACUCAGGCAUGGCAGUUCAUGACGCGAUGCUUAGGGAGGCUGAGUGCGUGGAGAUAUCAUGAAAACUUUAUCGCUUUAUAUAGAGCUUAAUCAGCUGCGGGAGUGAAAUGCGGGUGUGGAUGUAGGCAUAGAAAGCUCUAAAGUCUAAUGCUAGUGUAAAAUCCCCGAGAUGAGAGGUGUGGGGGCGAAAAUGCAGGAAAGAAACGCCUGCAUGACAGUGCAUGGUGACAAAGAGAUGCCCAGGCGGGGGCCCUUACGACGUGAGGCGAGAGAUGCAGCAGCAGCAGCAUCCGUCCGUCUCGACAUAGAAAUGAAUAAAAGAUACAGUAGCGGCUUCCAAACACCCGGAAUUUGUCAGCCGAGCCAGGCCGUCGCGAGCAAUCAAGAUGGAGUGCAGCAAGGAGAGGGAAAUCAUGAAAGACUGUAACAGAGCCUACAGCAGCUGAGGAGUGCCAGCUGAGUUACACGCGGAGAAGAGUGCCAGCUGAGUUACACGCGGAGAAGAGUGCCAGCUGAGUUACCACGGAGAAGAGUGCCAGGCACCCGAGGAAGGUCGUUAGGCAGGCUGAAUCAGGGCAUCUUCCUUCUCGUGAGACGCGCGGCCGAUGAAAGAUCUCCCGAAGGCGUGGAUGCUUGAGAAGUCUUAUCAGCUGAGUUCGCUGAUGCCCUUCCUCGGGAGCCUUUGCCCAGACCAGUCGCAUCUUCCACAUGGUCACGCACACCCCACGCCCACCAUGCUUAACCGCGGCACCUGGAACACGUGACGGCGGAUGCGGCAGGCUGCGGCAGGCUGCGGCUGGCAUGCAAGGGAUGACAUAGCAACGGCAGAGCUCUCACAGCUGGUCCGUUUCUACGUUCUCAAUGCUGGGAUGAUGGCUUCUUCUGCGUAGAAUUGCUAACAGUGUGUCCUUCACGCCCACGUCCUUGUCGUCUGCGGAGAAAGUGUUUCGGGAGAUCGUCUAUACUAAUUUUCCUUCAUUGUUGUAAUAGACGUCAUUUCUUUAUAAGGUGUAUUUUCCGAAAGAAAGUUUUGGUUUAUUUUUUGUUCGAAGGUUGAUGGCCUGUUUUGUUUUUGUUUUUGUUUUUGUGUGAGAAAAUUAUAUGAAAUGUGGAUAAAUAAAUUAUAAUCAAA